UACGUAGGGUGCGAGCGUUGUCCGGAAUUACUGGGCGUAAAGAGCUCGUAGGUGGUUUGUCGCGUUGUUCGUGAAAACUCACAGCUCAACUGUGGGCGUGCGGGCGAUACGGGCAGACUUGAGUACUGCAGGGGAGACUGGAAUUCCUGGUGUAGCGGUGGAAUGCGCAGAUAUCAGGAGGAACACCGGUGGCGAAGGCGGGUCUCUGGGCAGUAACUGACGCUGAGGAGCGAAGGCGUGGGGAGCGAACAGG
rnacentral:rRNA from 1 species